GAUGAACGCUGGCGGCGUGCCUAAUACAUGCAAGUCGAGCGAACAGAUGAGGAGCUUGCUCCUCUGACGUUAGCGGCGGACGGGUGAGUAACACGUGGAUAACCUACCUAUAAGACUGGGAUAACUUCGGGAAACCGGAGCUAAUACCGGAUAAUAUAUUGAACCGCAUGGUUCAAUAGUGAAAGACGGUUUUGCUGUCACUUAUAGAUGGAUCCGCGCCGCAUUAGCUAGUUGGUAAGGUAACGGCUUACCAAGGCGACGAUGCGUAGCCGACCUGAGAGGGUGAUCGGCCACACUGGAACUGAGACACGUCCCAGACUCCUACGGGAGGCAGCGGUAGGGAAUCUUCCGCAAUGGGCGAAAGCCUGACGGAGCAACGCCGCGUGAGUGAUGAAGGUCUUCGGAUCGUAAAACGCUGUUAUUAGGGAAGAACAAAUGUGUAAGUAACUAUGCACGUCUUGACGGUACCUAAUCAGAAAGCCACGGCUAACUACGUG
rnacentral:rRNA from 1 species